rnacentral:lncRNA from 1 species
UUGCACUUUUGAUAUGAUAAGGAUAUUUUAAACACAUUUUAAAAGAAAAAGAACCUUAGUAGUUAGUAGAAAGGAAAGCAAUUUUAGAUUCCAACCGUAUUAUUACUUGUGAAAUAUUAUCAUCUAGUGGGAAAACCGCAGUGAUUGUGCCUUCAAACGGGCAAUUUGAAAGGACAACCCCACCAAAAUCCAUUAUAAUUGUAAAUUGAAAUGAUUGAUAUUAAAAAUGUUUGUACCUAUGUAAUUGUACAUGUAAAGCUGGAAAUUCAGGCAUACCAUGGAAAAUUUGAAAAAAUUAAGCACCACAGACAUCAAACAACAGUGGGGAUAAUUU